rnacentral:rRNA from 1 species
CGGGUGAGUAACACGUGGGCAAUCUGCCCUUCACUCUGGGACAAGCCCUGGAAACGGGGUCUAAUACCGGAUACUGACCCUCGCAGGCAUCUGCGAGGUUCGAAAGCUCCGGCGGUGAAGGAUGAGCCCGCGGCCUAUCAGCUUGUUGGUGAGGUAAUGGCUCACCAAGGCGACGACGGGUAGCCGGCCUGAGAGGGCGACCGGCCACACUGGGACUGAGACACGGCCCAGACUCCUACGGGAGGCAGCAGUGGGGAAUAUUGCACAAUGGGCGAAAGCCUGAUGCAGCGACGCCGCGUGAGGGAUGACGGCCUUCGGGUUGUAAACCUCUUUCAGCAGGGAAGAAGCGAAAGUGACGGUACCUGCAGAAGAAGCGCCGGCUAACUACGUGCCAGCAGCCGCGGUAAUACGUAGGGCGCAAGCGUUGUCCGGAAUUAUUGGGCGUAAAGAGCUCGUAGGCGGCUUGUCACGUCGGUUGUGAAAGCCCGGGGCUUAACCCCGGGUCUGCAGUCGAUACGGGCAGGCUAGAGUUCGGUAGGGGAGAUCGGAAUUCCUGGUGUAGCGGUGAAAUGCGCAGAUAUCAGGAGGAACACCGGUGGCGAAGGCGGAUCUCUGGGCCGAUACUGACGCUGAGGAGCGAA